UGGGGAAUAUUGGACAAUGGGCGCAAGCCUGAUCCAGCCAUGCCGCGUGUGUGAAGAAGGUCUUCGGAUUGUAAAGCACUUUAAGUUGGGAGGAAGGUCAGUAGCUUAAUACGUUGCUGAUUUGACGUUACCGACAGAAUAAGCACCGGCUAACUCUGUGCCAGCAGCCGCGGUAAUACAGAGGGUGCAAGCGUUAAUCGGACUUACUGGGCGUAAAGCGCGCGUAGGUGGUUUUGUAAGUUGGAGGUGAAAUCCCCGGGCUCAACCUGGGAACUUCCUCCAAAACUGAAAAGCUAGAGUACGGUAGAGGGUGGUGUAAUUUCCUGUGUAGCGGUGAAAUGCGUAGAUAUAGGAAGGAACACCAGUGGCGAAGGCGACCACCUGGACUGAUACUGACACUGAGGUGCGAAAGCGUGGGGAGCAAACA
rnacentral:rRNA from 1 species